rnacentral:lncRNA from 1 species
GUUUUCCGUCAGUACUAUCAGUGUCGCAUUUUAUUUUAAUGUUUUUUCCAUGUAUUUAAUGUUUUUUAAUUGUUUCUCUUUUCGCCUUUUUUUGAAUUUUCAGUCAUUGUGUAUGUUGUUUCUAUCUAACUUUUGAUUUCCGUUUGGUUCUUCUUGGUCUUUUCAUUUGCAUUAUUACUGAUUGAUCUAUUAAUUGAAAUGCCUUUUGUGUGCUCUAGUGUAACAUCACAACAUAGAACGACUUUCUAAAAAAUAUCAAUUGAAACUCCAUCAAAAGACAACUUCUGAUUUUCUUUUGUUGCUUUGUGUUAUACCGGCGUCCCACAUCAGCGUAUAGCUCCGACGUACACCAGGCGUGGUAAAAAAAUCAUGUACGCUGCCAAUACGCUAGUAAUUUUGGUUGCAUCCAACUUGUCUAUCAUAUCUGUCUCGUGUGCACAACGAGCUUUAAGUGUGUGUCGGGCGUUAAAGUAACGUAUGUUGGCGUAUGUCUGGAGUUUGUCCAACUUAGAUGGAAUGCACGCCACGAAGGAAAAAGGUCUUUUUAACGUAUUUGAGACGCGUCCCCGUCGUACCUGGGAUCAUAAUCCGUGCUUUUGGCGUGUUGGGGACCUUUAAGUAUGGGAUGUUUAUUACAAACACAUCCGACAUACGUUCUAGUUAAAGUCGAACGAUCUUAAAGCGUAUACAACGUGUCCUAAACGUGUCUCAAACUUACCGUUUUCAACGCGCGUGAAACGUAUACAUUACGUGUGUGUGGCGUACAGGUAUAGGUACGCUUGAGCUGGAUUAAAAAUUUUAUGCUGCAUAAAAAUUUCCUGGACUUGACGCGGUUACCAUGCGUAUACCUUUGCAUUUCGACGUCAAACUUAUGCAUCGCGCUUUUAACG